rnacentral:rRNA from 1 species
GUGGAUUAGAUACCCGGGUAGUCCACGCCGUAAACGAUGAUAACUAGCUGUCCGGGGGCUUGGCCUUUGGGUGGCGCAGCUAACGCAUUAAGUUAUCCGCCUGGGGAGUACGGCCGCAAGGUUAAAACUCAAAUGAAUUGACGGGGGCCUGCACAAGCGGUGGAGCAUGUGGUUUAAUUCGAAGCAACGCGCAGAACCUUACCAGCGUUUGACAUGUCCGGACGAUUCCCAGAGAUGGGUCUCUUCCCUUCGGGGACUGGAACACAGGUGCUGCAUGGCUGUCGCCAGCU